rnacentral:lncRNA from 1 species
AGAAGGAGAGCUGGGGAUCAACCACCAAAUGCUGAACCUUCCAAGAAGAAACCACCACUGCUGAGGAGGAAAUAAUCACUGCUCUGCUGAAGGGAAAAGAGGUGAAAACCUCAACAAGCACUCUGAUGGGGAGAAGUAGCAUAGAUGAAGUACACCAUACCAUCAACUCCGCUGGCGACCUUACUGAGGAAACAGACGAAGUACCGGGAUAUG